GAUGAACGCUGGCGGCGUGCUUAAUACAUGCAAGUCGAACGGAGACGUUAUAGCAAUACGAUGUUCUUAGUGGCGAACGGGUGAGUAACGCGUUGGUGACCUGCCCCGAAGCGGGGGAUAACAGUCCGAAAGGACUGCUAAUACCCCAUGUGGUCUCAGGGAUUAGAUGCCCUGAGUCUAAAGGAGUAAUCCACUUUGGGAGGGACCUGCGUCCCAUCAGCUAGUUGGUAAGGUAACGGCCUACCAAGGCUUCGACGGGUAGGGGACCUGAGAGGGUGGCCCCCCACAAUGGAACUGAAACACGGUCCAUACACCUACGGGAGGCUG
rnacentral:rRNA from 1 species